AGAAAAUGCCUUCACUGUGAACCUAAUUCAUUUAAACGUCGGUCAACCCGACUGGGUGGCGUUACCGUUAAUUUUAGCACAAAGCAAAAAGUGCAUGUGGCAUCACUCCAAAAACAAAAAAAACCCCUCAACCCUCCCUUCCCCAACCCCUUGGUGUGAUCGAUCACGGAAUGUGAAAUAAAAUGAAAUGCUCAAGCAGGAAGAAUUUCGGAGAGAACAAUAAGCAAGGCCUUUUUUUCCCCCCAGCAGAGGUGCUUCCCCCCGCCCCCCCCUGCCCAGGAUAAGGCCGAGGUGGAGAGCAGGCGUGCUGGGCCCUGGGGAGACUCUCUCUCUUUCUCUCUCUCCCCGCAGCAACGCCGCACAAACCAGGUCCCAGAACCUCUUACCUCCUCUUCACUCUCGUUUCUGAAGCACAAACAGGCCGCUCGCUUCUUGUACCCGUCCCCAUCAAAAAAACUUCGCAUGAGCAGAGAAGCAGAGGCCUCCCUCGGCUGCAGAUUAUAAUUUUUUUGUGUGCGUUGAACGACGAAGGAAGACCGAUCCUCAGCCACCGGGACCACCUCGCUUCAUAUUGCCACAGCCACUCUCUCCGACACCAGCGCCGCCG